AACGAACGCUGGCGGCGUGGAUAAGACAUGCAAGUCGAACGCUGAUUGAAGGGUAGCAAUAUUCUUCAGUCGGAGUGGCGCAAGGGUGCGUAACACGUGGGCAAUCUACCGCGAAGACCGGAAUAACCUGCUGAAAGGCGGGCUAAUGCCGGAUGUGACUGUCUGGAGGAUUCUUCGGACACUCAAAGUUGGGGACCGUAAGGCCUGACAUUUCGCGAUGAGCCCGCGGCCUAUCAGCUAGUUGGCGGGGUAACGGCCCACCAAGGCUAAGACGGGUAGCUGGUCUGAGAGGACGAUCAGCCACACUGGGACUGAGACACGGCCCAGACUCCUACGGGAGGCAGCAGUGGGGAAUCUUGCGCAAUGGGCGAAAGCCUGACGCAGCAACGCCGCGUGAGCGAAGACGGCCUUCGGGUUGUAAAGCUCUGUCAGGAGGGACGAAGCCACUCAGGUGAAUAGCCGAGAGGGUGACGGUACCUCCAGAGGAAGCCCCGGCUAACUACGUGCCAGCAGCCGCGGUAAAAC
rnacentral:rRNA from 1 species